rnacentral:siRNA from 1 species
UACACCAAGGACUCGUCAGAGGAU